CUUUCUUUUACUAGUACUGGCUUCUUCUAGUAAUUGGCCUCUACUAAUACUGGCUUCUAUUAGUACUGACUUCUACUUGUACUGACUUCUACUAGUACUGGCUUCUAUUAGUACUUGACUUCUACUACAACAUGGAUUCUACCAGUACUGGCUUUCACUAGUACUGGCUUCUAUUAGUACUGACUUCUACUUGUACUGACUUCUACUAGUACUGACUUCAACUAGUAGUAGUACCAACUUAGUAGAAGUUGGCUUCUAAUUGUGCUGACUUUUAUUUGUACUGAUUUCUUCUAGUAUUUGUCUUAUACUAGUACUUGGCUUUGACUAUUACUGAUUUAUAAUAGAACUUCACUUCUAUUAGUACAGAUUGUUCUAGUAUCUGGAUUCUGCUAUUUUUUACUAGUACUGUUUACUAGUCCUCUAUUAGCUUUUCUACUAGUCCUUCUAAUAGUCUGUACAGGAAAUUGAAUCAAGAAUGAUCAAAAAAGCUGUUUUUACAAUAACACUUGAACAAAAAAGAUGUGACAGCCAUUGCAAAACAUGAGACAUCGCUGUAUAAAUGGAAGGGAAGAAGGCAGCGUAUUCUGGUAAAAAUCUCCACGAGGUGCAUGUUAUCAUUUUUGCUUAUGUAAUAGGAAGCUUUUCUAGAUUUUACAACAACCUUUUCACCAUAAAAGUAAUAAUUAGAAGUUUAACGUGUUAAAAUUGUAUAAAAGAAUUAAAUUGUAUUUUGGAAGGAAUAAAGUUACUGAGCAGUAAAACUUCAUCAUAAAAAUUGUUCAUUAUGUCUGUAUAUGAACAUGUAAAUGCCUAUUUUAACCUGAAAGCAUAUUUUCUUGACAUAAAAUUCUGUACUUAAUAAAAACAGUUAAUGGUAGGUCUCAUAAAAAUGGAGAAAAAUUAAUAACCUGUUAUAUUUUAUACCUGGUGUCAGGGAUACUUUGUGUACUAAGGCAUAUAUGACGGGCUUGGAAGGUGAAGAGAGGCAGUCAAAAUAGGUAUAAGUUGUUUAAAAAUCUUGUAAGAUAUCAGAUAAAAAGUGGUCAGUAAAAUUGAGUCUGAUUUUAAGCUGGACUAUUCGAAGAAUAAGGAGAGCUAUACUACUCACCCAAGCGUCUGCGUCGUGUCAUACCUUGGUUAAGGUUUUGCAUGCAAGCACAUCUCAGUAAAUACAUCAUGUUUUGCAUUGAAACUUUAGAUAUGUAUUCCCAACUAUCUAACCUACUAAAUUAAUGAAGUAAGAUAACAAUUAUUUGAAUUUAAUGCAAAUAAUAGGCCUUUAUUAUUCGACUUAGAAAUUCUGGUUAAGGUUUUGCGAUCAAGCACACAUAGGUUAAUAUCUCAGCAACUACUUGAGGUAUUGCAUUGAGACUUUAUACAAUGGUACUGAACCAUCCAACCUACUUAAUUAACCAAGUAAGAUAACUCUAGUUUGCAUUAAAUUCAAAUAAUGGCACCUUUUUUAUUCGACUUAAAAAUUCGGGUUAAGGUUUUGCAUGUAACCACAUUUAAGUCAAUACCUCAGCAAAUAAUUAUAUCAUGUUUUGCAUUGAAACUUUAGAUAUGUAUUCUUAACUAUCUAAUCUACUAAAUUAAUGAAAUAAGAUAACACUUUUUUGAAUAUAGUGCCAAUUAUGGGCCUUUAUUAUUUGACUUAGAAAUUCUGGUUAAGGUUUUGCAUGUAAGCACACAUAGGUUAAUAUCUCAGCAACUAUUUGAUGUAUUGCAUUGAGACUUUAUACAAUGGUAUUCAACCACCCAACCUAAUUGAAUAACCAAAUUAGAUAACUGUAUUUUGCAAAUAAUGGCCCUUUAUUAUUAGACUUAGAAAUUCUGGUUAAAAUUUUGCAUGUAUCUACAUUUAUGUUAAUAUCUCAGCACAUCAUGUAUUGCAUUGAAAUCUACUCUAACAGUGAUCCAUGCAUGUUUCGCCAAAACCUUUCAAUCCCUACACUGAAAAGCGGCGGAAUAGUCGAGCGUGCUGUCUCUGUGACAGCUCUUGUUUUUUAGUCUACUUGAGGUGAGUGAGACAUGACUGUUGCAAUGGCGGUUUCAUCCCAGUCAUGUUAGUCUGACUGUCCGGACUGAACCUUGUCCAGGCUGUAUCUUGACCAUGCAUUAUAGGAUUUACUUGAAUUUUAAAUUGCCAUUAAUGUUAACCAUGAUGAGGUGGUGUGUGGCACAAAAGACAAGGUCUGUACCUCAAAGGUCAAGUUCACACUUAGAGGUCAAAGGUUAAAAGUAUCCUUGUCUGUGCUGUGUCCUUACCAUUCCUUAUAGGAUUUUCUAAAAACUUGCCAUGAAAGUUCACCAUGAUGAGGUCUAUUGUGUCUGGUUCCACAUACUGUUCAUCUCAAUGUUAUUCUGUGUUGCAAUUGCAUGGAAGAAUAUCAUGUCUGUGUCAAAGGCUCUUUCAAAGGGCUCGCAAUGUCACCAUUUGGCAUAUUGUUUUUGGUACUUCUGCUAUUAUUUCACUCAGCUGGCACGAGACUUCAAUCAGUGCCAGACCUUGAAAGUUAAAGGAAUGGUGAUACUGUUGUAUGUUUAUUAAUAUUACAAAUGUUUCAGUUACUUAGUAUGUCAUCAGUCUGCUUAAAGCUCAAAGAUUGUUCAUAUGUUUGUAAGAAAUCACAAUAUUAGUACUAGAAUUACUGAACUUAAUGUCAUAACUGCCACCCCCAGAUUAAGCGAACAAACCAAACCUUUUAAGACAUUUGUUUAGAUCCAAGCUCUAGUGACCUACUUGGCAACUUUGUUCAGCAUUUUUACACUUAAUGAUUGUCUUGAUUUCUAUGAAAUUAUGUACAAGUGCUUGAUGUGUUUGCAGUUCUGUUUGCAGAAAGACCGUCACCCAAGUUGGAGAUAGUUCUAAAUCUGCUGUCAAGUACCACAUCCUGACAAACCUGUUAUCCAAAUAUGUGCCUCCACCAUUGUAAGGGCUUCCAUUAUUUGAGGACAGAUUCAAGUCAGAUCAGAAGGAUGCUUUAAUAUUGUUACAAAACUGAUACCCUUUGCAAGAAGGAGCAACUAGAUUAACAAAUCUUCAGGCCAUGUCAUGAAAGCAUGAAAAUACUACUGCAAAUUUAAUGGGACUAUUUCAUGUUUCUGCUGUUUGGUCAAGUGCGGCGCUGGCCACUAUUUGCAUGCCAGUGAUGGCCAAGCCAGAGAGCACAGUAGUGGGUUGAUUGCCUUUAAAUAUCGGAACAGGACACUUGUUGGACCUCAAAUGCUAUCA